rnacentral:rRNA from 1 species
UGGGGAGUACGGCCGCAAGGUUAAAACUCAAAUGAAUUGACGGGGGCCCGCACAAGCGGUGGAGCAUGUGGUUUAAUUCGAUGCAACGCGAAGAACCUUACCUGGUCUUGACAUCCACAGAACUUUCCAGAGAUGGAUUGGUGCCUUCGGGAACUGUGAGACAGGUGCUGCAUGGCUGUCGUCAGCUCGUGUUGUGAAAUGUUGGGUUAAGUCCCGCAACGAGCGCAACCCUUAUCCUUUGUUGCCAGCGGUCCGGCCGGGAACUCAAAGGAG